rnacentral:ncRNA from 1 species
UUGUUUAACUGUGGCAAUAAGAAGUUUGACCUCAUUAUCUGCAUAAAUUAUUUAUAGAUUAUUAAUAAAUAAGAUUUGAUUAUUGUGAUUAGCAGUUGAUUUUUUAUUAGAAUGAAUGUUUUUUAAGAGUGAGGUUAUAAAAGGGGAUAGGACACAGUGCCAGCAUCUGCGGUUAGUCUGUUUUCUUUGCUUUUUUCUGAGCAGUAUGUUUUGUGUUUAUAACUAAAAUUAGGUGAAAUUUUUUUAGUAUUUUAUUAUACAUGAAAUUGAUAGUAAGAACGUUAUUGUGACAGGGAUUAGAUACCCCAUUAAUAGGUUUUUUAAUAUAGCUUUAGUUUUUUAACUAAAACAGUUUGGCAGCGAGUGAUUCCUGUUGGGGGAAGGUGUGAAUUAAAGGACGAUCCGCCUAGUAAUUUACUUUUGUUAUGUUGGUGUACAUCUGGUUGAAUAUUAAUACUUAGUGGUUUAAAUUUGUGUAGAUUUUAGUUAAGCCAAGUCUAUGUGCUGCUUACAAAAGUUUUCAUGCGUUACUUUUAUAAAAUUUAUUACAAGGUAGAUGUGUAAAUAUUUAGGACUCAAGAGUAAUAUGAAAUUAAUUUGUGCAUGUGAAAUUGGUUUAACUCGGGUACACACCGCCCGUCAUCCUCGACUAUUGUUGAGGCAAGUCGUAACAAGGUAACUUUAAAGGAAUUUGAAGUU